AACGAACGCUUUCUUCCUUCCUAACACAUGCAAGUCGAACGAGACCUUCGGGUCUAGUGGCGCACGGGUGCGUAACGCGUGGGAACCUGCCCUUAGGUUCGGAAUAACUCCCCGAAAGGGGUGCUAAUACCGGAUAAUGUCUUCGGACCAAAGAUUUAUCGCCUUUGGAUGGGCUCGCGUUGGAUUAGCUAGUUGGUAGGGUAAAAGCCUACCAAGGCGACGAUCCAUAGCUGGUCUGAGAGGAUGAUCAGCCACACUGGGACUGAGACACGGCCCAGACUCCUACGGGAGGCAGCAGUGGGGAAUAUUGGACAAUGGGCGAAAGCCUGAUCCAGCAAUGCCGCGUGAGUGAUGAAGGCCUUAGGGUUGUAAAGCUCUUUUACCCGGGAUGAUAAUGACAGUACCGGGAGAAUAAGCUCAGGCUAACUCCGUG
rnacentral:rRNA from 1 species